AGGGCAAAUCCUGGGCCUCAUUCUCCCAAAGCUACUAAAUCAGAACACCUGGGAGUGUGACCCAAGAACCUGCAUUUAAACUAGCUCACCAGGUUGAAUGAGACAAAAAAUUUCAAGAGUUCUUCAGGGAAAGGAAAAGCAUCAGAAGCUGAAAGGAUUCAGAAUGCACCUUUCACCAGAGCGUGAAGUAUAAACAAAUUCUAGAUCCAGUUCCUAGGAAGACUCAUUGCUGAGACAAAAAGCCUGGCAACUUCCCAAUUUGCAAUUGGGUAUAAAAAUAGCAGAGUUUCUAUUUCAGAUGAUCUGUUUCUCCCCAGGAUUCUUAAGGACAAGGAGCCACUGAGUGGACAUUUUGAUGUUUCAUUCUUUCCUUUGGAAUAUCUAUGAUGGCAAAACCUGUGAAGGCUGUUUGGAUUCUGUUUUGCUUCAGCGGCCGUGCUCUGCAAGUAAAAUUAUUUUGAAGCCACUUGCAAAUCAAAGAUUCAAAUGUAAUAGACCACAAAAGUAUAUUGCCAAUUUACCCUUUUCCAGGAGGUUAAUCGAUUAUAAAAGAGACAUUAAACCCUGCUACUCACCUAGAGGGGAAGGUUAUUUGCAAGGCUUUUUAAACUUAGUUACAGCCACUAAGGAUUCAUCAGACCCUUACUCCUUACUAAAUGUAGUUGGAAAAACUAAGUCUUUCAAUUUGAGUAUGCUCUCCACUCCUUUAAAGGGAGUUUGGAUAGCUUAAAUACAUCCAGCAAGAACACAGUAUGGUAUAAAGAGUAAAACUGCAUACAUCUCUGGUCAGGGUUGGAUCUGGGUUUUGGGAGCCUAAAGCUUACAAACUUAAGGACUCUCUUAAAAAAAAAAUACAAUUAGAUCCAAAAAUAAACAUUUAGAAUGAGAAAGAUGAUAAAUUACUGAAGCCUAGAAGCCUAGGAAAUGCAGAUCCUUCUGAGAUUUUUUUUUUUUUUUUUUUUUUUUUUUGAGACAAGAGUCUCCGUCUGUGGCCCAGGCUGGAGUGUAGUGAUGCAAUCUUGAAUCUCGGCUAACUGCAACCUCCACCUCCUGGGUUCAAGCAAUUCUCCUGCAUCAGCCUCCCGAGUAGCUGGAAUUACAAGCGUGCACCACUGAGUCCGGCUAAUUUUUUGUAUUUUAAUAGAGGCAGGGCUUCACUAUGUUGCCCCCAUGGUGAUCUCAAACUGAGCUCAGGCUCAGGUAAUCCACCCGCCUUGGUCUUCCAAAGUGUUAGGAUUACAGGCGUGAGCCACCGAAUAAGAUCUCUUUAGGCAAUUAUCAGAAAUGCUUCAGAUUGCAGCCUGGCUUCUCUUGCCCACCUGAAAUACUACAACUCCCAGCAACCCCUAGCUCUCCCAGGGAUCUGUUAAAUGAGGGCCUCAAGAUUAGCUUCAUCAGUUUCCACAUGAAUCCAUGUCCACCUGUCUCAACUUCUGUGUUUUACCCCAUCUAUAAAUGAGGAAACAUUAUGAGGACUACGUAAGACCAUGUAUGGCAUAGUGCCUGGCACAUAGUAUUUGUUAAAGAGUGGUUUGUUGUUAUUUCCUGUAAUAAACUAUCAUAGCUAACUGCCAUUGUGCACUUAACACUUAGCAUGGCUCUAAAUAUUUUUAAAUUAUUAAUAUUCUCAACUAUCCCAUGGCUUACUAUUAUUAUUAAUACAAAGUCUCAUUUUACAGAUAAGAAAACUGAGACACAAAGAUACCAAGUAACUUGCUCAAGGACACAAGAGGAAAAAAAGGGGGGCUGGCAUGUGCAGUGGCUCACACCUGUAAUCCCAGCACUUUGGGAAGGCAAGGCAGGAGGACCAUCCAGGAGUUCAAGACCAGCCUGGGCAAUAUGGUGAAACCCCAUCUCUACAAAAAAAUAGAAAAAUUAGCCUGGUAUCGUGGCACGCGUCUGUAGUCCCAGCCACUUGGGAGGCUGAGGUGGGAGAAUAUCUUGAGCAUGGGAGGUUGAGGCUGCAGUGAGCUGUGGUUGUGCCACUGCACUACAGCCUGGGUGACAGGGCAAGACCGUGUGUCAACAAAACAAAACAAAACUUGGAGAAACUGGGAUUUAAACCCGGGCAUUGAGGUUCCAGAACCCAACCUCUUAACCACUAUGUUAUAUAUUGAUUCACAACUGCCUUGAAAAUACAGGAACACGUAAUAUCUCAUAGGUCAUGCCAGAAAAUGAUGUAGUCCUCAGCCUUGACCUGUCAAACUAGAAGCUGACAUAAAGCUAUUCAAGCCAGUGCCUGGUUUUCAACAGAGGAGGCCUGAAGAACAAAUGUGUAGUAGAUUCCUGGUAUGGUUUGGCUGUGUGAAUCCCCUCCUGCUUUUUUUCAACUGCAGAAACAAAAGAGAGUGAGUUGCCUAAGAAGAAAGAACCUACUCUAAGCCAUCUCCUUAGUAAUGAAAUUUUAGGAAAAGUAGGUAAAAUUGCAUAUUAUUAAAAGAAAGACUACUACCAGAUAAUUCAGGAGGAAAGAAAUGCUGUUUCUACAGAAGAUGGAUACUUUCGUUACAUAAAAAACGUUAAAAAUAAAUAAAUUCACCAUUGAUGUACUUGUGUUCUAAAGACAACUAGGCAAGUGAAGGAGCAAGCUUGUAUGCUGUAUUGUCAGGAAAGUCAGGACCGUGUAGAACUUAUACUGAUACCUAGCAAAUUCUCAAUAAAUGUUGCAGCUAUUAUUAUUAUUUUAUUAUGAAUCAGGAAUGAGGAAGACAGUUGAGUUCAAAUUCCAUCUCAGCCGCUCAUGCAACUCCGAAAGGAUUUUAAAAUCUUUCUGAACCUCUUUCAUCAUCUGUAAAAAAGAAACUGUUGUGAAUGUUACAUGAAAUAACAUAAAGCAUCUGGUACAGUA